rnacentral:lncRNA from 1 species
GUAACAUUUAUUGAGGAGGCUCAACAUGAUAAAGGCUAGAUAUUUAUGCUAACACUUAACCAGUUCCACAAAGCUUUGUUGUCUAUUUGAGCUCCACAGAAUUCAAGGAUGAAAGAAGACUAUCAGAUGGAGGACAUCCUAAUCGCUGUCAGGGUGCUACCGACAUUCAAAUACACCUCCGCCACCUGCUAGCUACAUCAGAAGAAAUUGCGUCAAAAUCCAGCUUGGGGGAGAGCACCCCCAUUUUAUCCAGCUAAGUGUUCUACUCAUGUUUAUAAAUUACUCAAAUAAUAAAAAGUUGCAUAAUCAUAAAACCCAAAUAAGGAUUGUGUGCUUAUAUAUAUAUCUUUGCUUAGUUUGCUAAAUAAAUAAAUAAAUAAAGUUUGCUAUGAACCCUCAUGAUAAGCUCUCACAUGGAAAUGAUGAAUAGUUGCUCUGCCAUGACUAGUUCUCAAAAUUGAAAUCUCUCUCAAGUUUAGGCAUGACUGUUAUUAAUUAAGAUUUGCUCUAAACCUAAACUUGUGGGAAGAGUACUUGAUCUAUAGUCUAAGUCGUUAACAGAUAUGAUAUGGUAAGGUUGAGCUACUGUUUAUCUAUUCCUAGAGAUGCUAGAAUUCUGGAGAAUUUUAUCUUUGAAAAUCUUUAAAAUGUUACAUGAUGAGUUCCUGUAUGAUGAGAGUUUAAAUUCCUACCAUAGCCAUAUAUACAUGCUUGCUAAGACUUUGAGCCGCACAUUUACUUUUUACUGCUUACGAGCAUUGAGUGUGGUCAAGCUGUGUAGACCCUUAGGAGCUUGUCAUGUGGUUAAAUCAAGAUUCACUUGCACGUUCACUCAUACAUGCUGCUUCUACUCCGGAAGUACGCAUCCACAUACAUCCACUCAUUUCCAUAUCCAGAUCCAUCCAAAAUUAUACUACUUCUAUCUAGGAGAGAAUAGCCAAAAAUAAUAUCCUAUCCCUGUUAUUCCCCGUGAAAUAAAUGCUCGAUAUAUUUUGGUUACUACCACUUGCUACAUUAUUCCAUGAGGGUGAGUGCUCUGAAAAAAAAGUGAAUACAAGGAAAUAAAAAGGGACAAGUGCCCGGAACCUCAAAAAAAAUAAAAAGUGAGACAAGAGGUAAAAAUGGACAAGUGUCCGACAGUAGAAUUAGGGGUACAAGAUACCCGCCUGAGAGAAAAGAAAAAGAAAAUAUAGAGUAUCUCAUUCUCCUCAAAAAGUUUCAAAAGAGCAAGAAAGGUAUGUAUCCCCUCAAAAGAGCAUAAGUAGAAUUAGAUUUUCACUAUUGUUAUCACCAUCAUCACCAUACACCAUUCAUUCACCACACAUGCACAUCUUGAUUUGACUUAUUGACUUGUUCUUCUAGAUCCAUGGUUUGACUAUGCAAUAAAUGUCUUGUAAGUAUGUAUUAGCUGUCUCCCACCUAUGAGCUCUAGAUAUCAAAACCUUAUUAGAGUAGGGUGAGAGAGAAGGCAAUGCCACUAUGCCUCAUACCAAAAAUACCACAUACUUUGAGAGAAGGCAUACACCAUUCCUGCCUUGAUAAGGAUCCAGAAAUACCACAAAAGAGAGACUAGAGAGAGUCAUACAAGGAAUCUCUGAGUUUUAUUUGAAAAUCUGCAAAAACUCCAGAGCUAUAGUUAAUCGAAGAACAAGAGACAUGGCGCUUGACUAGACCGUUCUAUCUCUCCAGAUAUCAAAACCUUAUUAGAGUAGGGUGAGAGAGAAGGCAAUGCCACUAUGCCUCAUACCAAAAAUACCACAUACUUUGAGAGAAGGCAUACACCAUUACUGCCUUGAUAAGGAUCCAGGAAUACCAAAAAGAGAGACUAGAGAGAGUCAUACAAGGAAUCUCUGAGUUUUAUUUGAAAAUCUGCAAAAACUCCAGAGCUAUAGUUAAUCGAAGAACAAGAGACAUGGCGC